rnacentral:rRNA from 1 species
AUGGCUCAGAUUGAACGCUGGCGGCAGGCCUAACACAUGCAAGUCGAACGGUAACAGGAAGCAGCUUGCUGCUUGCUGACGAGUGGCGGACGGGUGAGUAAUGUCUGGGAAACUGCCCGAUGAGGGGGAUAACUACUGGAAACGGUAGCUAAUACCGCAUAAUGUCGCAAGACCAAAGAGGGGGACCUUCGGGCCUCUUGCCAUCGGAUGUGCCCAGAUGGGAUUAGCUAGUUGGUGAGGUAACGGCUCACCAAGGCGACGAUCCCUAGCUGGUCUGAGAGGAUGACCAGCCACACUGGAACUGAGACACGGUCCAGACUCCUACGGGAGGCAGCAGUGGGGAAUAUUGCACAAUGGGCGCAAGCCUGAUGCAGCCAAUGCCGCGUGUAUGAAGAAGGCCUUCGGGUUGUAAAGUACUUUCAGCGGGGAGGAAGGGGUUAAGGUUAAUAACCUUAGCCAUUGACGUUACCCGCAGAAGAAGCACCGGCUAACUCCGUGCCAGCCGCCGC